AUACUUACCUGAUCGUGAGGGUGAUUGUGCCGGGUGAGGUUUAUUCACUGUACAGCAGAAGCACUGAGCCUUGCAAUUUCUCCCAAAUGUUGGAAAUCUGCUGCAUAAUUUGUGGUGGUAGGUGAUUGUGUUCACACUUUCCCUUA
rnacentral:snRNA from 1 species